GAAUUAGCCAGCCCUGGGAAAGACAGUCCCUCCAGAGUUAGCAAGACCCCAAGAUGUCAAAGAUAAAAAUGCAAAAAUUAAAACUCCAUGAUUAACACAACUUUGAAGUCCUUCUCACUUGUCUUUAGAUGAGGGGCAACAUCAUUGCAACAAGUCACACUUAGAGAACUCAAGAGAAUAUGUUUAUUCUGAAAAUCCGAGAAUUAUUGCCAACCCAUGGUUGUCUCCAUAUGUCUUGGGAAAAAUAGGAAAAGGAUUUUUUGAGUUGGUGAUUAGAAUCCAAGACACAAAGAUUCAGGCUCUGGUAAAAAGAUUGUAUAGGCUAUUUUGGCUGACAUAAAAGGUAAGAGCAAGAAUGCAGAGGAUUUCUAUCAACAUAAAGAAGAGUCAAAGAGACAUAAAAGGCACACAAUGAAAUCUUAAUAAAUGUAUUGGAUGUUGCAGCAUUAACUGAUGAGCCAGACAAUGUAAAGACCUCAGACUACCAAAUGUUUUGAAAGACGAAUAGUGAAUGUGAAACUGUGAACCAAAAUAGAUUUUUAGAAUCCUUGAAAAAAUAGAGCUAGAGAAAGUCUUUGAGACAACUGAUUGCAAAUAUUUGAGUUUACAACUGAGCAAAUGGAGAAAAGAGAAGUGACUCGUCAGUCCAACAAGUGGCAGAAUCAGAACCAGACCCCAGUCCUUGGGUCUUCUGUCCCUCCUGGCACCAAAGUCACCUAUCAUAAGUAACUUGAGUUUCAGAGGGGAAGGAAAAGACUACAAUGUCCCAGCACUGUUCCAGACACUUUUUAGGGGACUCCAAGACACCUUGUGUAAUGCCUAUUUUAAGUAGCUGGAAGAUUCUAUAGCAUGGGAAAAGCCCAUUGAAGGCAAAAGUAAACAUUACCUAUUGUGGUUCUGGAAAAGAAAAUCAUCUCUCAUUUAUCUCCUGGAGCUGUUUGACGAACUUGUGCCCUGGUUUUACUUUGGGAGCCACCUUUCUCUUUCAAGUGCUGUCUCAGUGGAAUAGUCAACCAAUGUAUCCUACAUUUUGGACCAGCAGAAGGAAGUAAUGAGAACAGAAAACAAAUAAGAAGUAAGUUGGAGGGAGAAGGAGACUUUAGCAUCUUCCUGAAAUCAGGAAGAAAGUUUCAAGAUGAAAUCAGGAAGAAAGUUUCAAGAAUAAAGUAAUCCAUAGGGUCAAAUACUGCAGUAAGUUUAAGUAGGAUGAAGACUGCAAAGAUGGUAUUAGUUUGGUACUUAGGACAUUGGUGACCUCCACAGGUGACCUUCAGGAGAAUUAUCUGGGGAACUUGUUGAUAGAAUUUGUGAAUCUCCACCUUUAGGGAUUCUGAUUUAGAAGGAGUAGGAAGAAGGCCUUAGGAUCUCCAUUUAUAACAACCACUACUGAUUAUUUUGAGGCACGUAGCAUACAGACCACAUUUUAAAGAAACACUAGGUAAGUGUGAUUUUCAUUCAAAGGACAAAAAACAUAAAGUUACCUAAUUCAGGGACCAUUUCAAAGACCAAAUCAAAUCAGUAGCCUGGCUGAUCUGAUCGACUGUGCAGAAACUAGCCAUUACCAUGGCAAAGUGGGGAGGAACAGUCAAUAAAAAGCAAUUGAUUUAUUGUUCAUAUGUAAGAUGAAUG